AUGAAAUGCUCCCUUGUCCUUUCUUAUGAUGAGCAUGAUGCAUACGCUUAUUGGGUGUCUUACCACACGAAUGAUAGGUUUUGCAUUUCCGCUAACCUCAUUUAUUUUUUCGAGUGUUUGUCAUGUUCUUUCAUUUUGAAGGAUUCACAAGGCGAUACCGUCAUGAGACAACUUGGUUACGUGACGGCAUACAUGACGUGCGACACCAACAUUUUCGACGUCCUCAUAAAGGUGAACUCCUUCCCUUUGAGCCAUCCUCACAUAUGCAUAUUGGAUGGGUCAUUCUUUCAUUGUUGUUUCCUACUUGUUCUCUACAUCAUACAUCUCGCGAAUGGAGGAGCAACAUUGGAGAUGGACCCUUUGGACCUUCAAGUUGAGGAGCGCUCGGACUUCUUGGAUGCACCUUCGAACCUCCACUCAUGCCACGACAUCGAGCAUUGGUACACCAACACUCCUUUGACACAUUGCACCAUCACAUAUGUAUUUAUUGAUUGUGUUCCCAUAUGUAAUGCUCGAUGGACAUAUCAUACCCAUAGCAAAUUUGCAUCUUAUGCAUGGAUUGACUCACCUUAUGAUUGCCUUGUUGCAUCUUGUAUUUCUAUGUAA
rnacentral:rRNA from 1 species